rnacentral:lncRNA from 1 species
ACCCUCUCGGCCUCCCCAGCCAUCUCUUUCCACCUGGCACUGAGCCCUGCAUCCUCACAGGACCCCAUACCUACCCCCAGGGGGCGCUCUAGCAGCAGAGGCUGGAGGCACCCAAAAGCCAGGCGCAGCCAGGCCUGGAGGUUUUUGGCAUGUGGGUCACUGAGACCCGUGAGGUUCCAGAGUGAGCGCAGAUGGGCAUUAGCAUCCAUCCUGGGUCAGGAGCCGGAGAGCUGGAGGAGUUGGCCUCUAUUCCUGCAGAAUCAGGAAUGCCUCUGAUGAGCCGGUUCUCAACAGGUCAGCUUGCGGCUGAGCUGCGCCUGCGCACAACUUGAUGUGCGGAUGAGAGAUCCGGCAGCCCAGAGGCACCCCCUUGUCUGCUGACCUUCCUGACCGAAGAAGUACCUUGGACUUCAGGGACUGAUUACUGUGACACUGAGACCCUGUUGUCAGCAUUUCUGGAACGCACAUCCUGUUAUCUGUGUGGGCAAAUGAGUGUCAUCCAAAUAUAUCUGAGCCAUACUGCUUCAGCCUCAAGGCCUGGUUUCCUACAGUGCCG